rnacentral:rRNA from 1 species
GACGAACGCUGGCGGCGUGCCUAAUACAUGCAAGUAGAACGCAGUUGCGAACGGGUGAGUAACGCGUAGGUAACUGCCUCAUAGGCGGGGAUCACUAUUGGAAACGAUAGGUAAUACCGCAUACUGUGAGAUGGACCUGCGUUGUAUUAGCUAGUUGGUGAGGUAAAGGCUCACCAAGGGGACGAUCCAUACCCUACCUGAGAGGGUGAUCGGUCACACCUGGAAUGGAAAACGGCCCAGACUUCUACGGGUGGCAGCAGGAGGGAAUUUUUGGCAAUUGGCGGCAGGCUGACCGAGGAACGGCCCGGUGGUGAAUAAGGUUUUCGGAUCGUAAAGCUCCGUUGUUCGAGAAGCGUUAACUAACCAGAAAGGGACGGCUAACUACGUGCCAGCAGCCGCGGUAAUUC